rnacentral:misc_RNA from 1 species
UGGUUCUGGCAUNGAUGAAGAACGCAGCGAAAUGCGAUAAGUAAUGUGAAUUGCAGAAUUUUGUGAAUCAUCGAAUCUUUGAACGCACAUUGCACCUUUUGGUAUUCCGAGAGGUAUGCUUGUUCGAGCGUCGUUUAAAUAUAUUCAAUUUAAUUAUUGAAUGGAUUGAGAUUUAUUAUCCUCGGAUGAUAUUCUUCAAAAUUAUUGUUAGCAAUUUUUGAAAAAAUUAUAAUUCAAUGCAUUAAGAAUAUUUCUCAUUGAAUAGAAAUUGUAAGAAAAUUAGCCGAAACUUUAUCAUAUCAAAAUCGACCUCGGAUCAAGUAGGAUUACCCGCUGA